rnacentral:rRNA from 1 species
GACGAACGCUGGCGGCGUGCUUAACACAUGCAAGUCGAACGGAAAGGCCCUGCUUUUGUGCGGUGCUCGAGUGGCGAACGGGUGAGUAACACGUGAGUAACCUGUCCUUGACUUUGGGAUAACUUCAGGAAACUGGGGCUAAUACCGGAUAGGAGCUCCUGCUGCAUGGUGGGGGUUGGAAAGUUUCGGCGGUUGGGGAUGGACUCGCGGCUUAUCAGCUUGAUGGGGGGGUAGUGGCUUACCAAGGCCUUGACGGGUAGCCGGCCUGAGAGGGUGACCGGCCACAUUGGGACUGAGAUACGGCCCAGACUCCUACGGGAGGCAGCAGUGGGGAAUAUUGCACAAUGGGCGGAAGCCUGAUGCAGCAACGCCGCGUGCGGGAUGACGGCAUUCGGGUUGUAAACCGCUUUCGCCUGUGACGAAGCGUGAGUGACGGUAAUGGGUAAAGAAGCACCGGCUAACUACGUG